rnacentral:sRNA from 1 species
CAAGAUGUUGAGUAUUGAUUCAACUUUUAGCCUGGGAGAUAAAAGCAAAAGCCCAAGCUGUAAAUAGACAGGCCAGCUUAACAAGCGGACAUUCUCUGCUGCCAGCAGUACCAAUUUGUCAUCCAAGCAACAAAUAUUCCUUGGUAAUCUGCUAUCAGAUAACAGUUUUCUCGUUGGCAUUUUUAUGAAUGAAAGCUUUCAAGGCCUAAUGUUUUGGUCAAGUUUCAGAUUUGUUUAGCAUAAUCCUGUACUACAUAUUAACAAAUGUUUGGUGUGUCUAGUUCAUCUCUCUCACUUUGAAGAUGGCUACACAGUGAGUACAA